GUAUCGGAGGGGCAUUUUGAUUUCAAUGAAUAUGACAUGCCAACAAUUAGAAGGUGGUGGUGUAUGCUUCUGCUGAGUAAUUAUCCAUUGAAGUCAAACGCGGAACGAAAACAACUCAGAAAAAAGAGGAGACUAGAAAGAGCAGGUAUGGGUUCUACUUUAAUUCUUGUA